AGGGGAAAUAAUGAUUUUACUAAAAUAUGGCAUGUGCCUAUUUACUAAAAUAUGGCAUGUCCCUAGCAAGGGCUGCUUUGCAGUAUAGAAUAUCGUCUCUAUACUCUGUCACUCCUUUCCAUGUGCUGAUGUAUCCUUUCUUCUAAAAUCCACCAACCCUCGUUGGAUCAAUGAGGCCUGAUCAAUUGUUUUUCCCUCUGAAUGAUGCAUGUGGGGUUGUUAGCUGAGCUGCUGGCAGCUAACUAGCGACAGUUUUCUGUCUGUUUACUGUAAAGGGAGCAAAGCAAACUACAGGAGGGGACAGGCUGCAAGAUAUUUACUGUCAAUACAGUUGGAGAGAGAGAGGAGAUAUAAGGAGACAGGAGCAGAGACUGCAGACUGCAACCCAAAUAAGUGAUCUGAGUGUAAAAAUACCCAUGCGGUUUCAAAAGGAAAGUGGGUGGAUUGAAGUCAACAAGGGGUAGCUGAGUAUUUAACAAAUGGUUUAGUAAAAGGCUAGAGAGAGCAGGGAAGUACUUGUGGCACACAGAAUAAUAAUGCUGCGCACGAGCGUAGUGACUCUGAAACACGCUUCUAGAUCUGCCCAGAGACAAAACAGUAACUGGGCUAUUUUUGUAAGUUCCUGUAAGUCCCAGCAUUUAAAAGUAGUGAUAAUAAGAAUAAUAAUGAUUGAGCUUAACAAAUAAUAUUUGGACCUAGUUUUCCUAGGCAGCUGGAAGUCACCACUAUAACUCCAACCAGAAGAAAAUAGGCAUAUUUCCUUGCUUUUCUCUCCUCUUCUUCAUUCACAGAGGAAUUAAGUGACGUGAGCUUCACAGGGCAAGAAGGCUCUGAGCAGCAAGCUCUGAAUGUCCCUCUACUUCCAGAGCCAGGCGAAUGAGUGAGGAGUGAAUUCACACUUUAGAGAACAGCGAAGACAAUCUUGCCAUGAAACCAUUCACAGAUGAAGAAGUAGAAAUUUACAUCCAAAGCAAGGUUGAGCCACGGCAUUAUCUGGUUUCCAAAGCAGUGGAGGAGGUGCAGAAAAUCAUCCAGCAACUGACCACAGAAAUCAGCUUUAAGGCCAUACGAUUCCAGGCUAUCUCCAACUCUGGCAUUCAUAAUGAGAAUAUUAAGGAUCAGCCAGCUUUACUGGCCAAGUGGUCAGCUAUGCUUCGAGGGAAACGCCCGUUCCACCCAUCCAUCCAGGUCUUAGCACCCAGCCAAUUCCUCAUCACAGUCCCUCUGCGUGGCCUGACUGGGUACAGGGAGUGCCAGGUACGGCACUGGCGUUAUUACACCGUGCAUGGAGCCAAGCUCCUCUCCUCCGUGCGGGACCCUGAGGAAUUGCACCAAUGGCUAGAGGUGGAGCAGUUCUCAAAAAGCCUUCCGCAGUGGCAUGAGACGGACGUGAACAUCGAAGGUGAUCUGGUUCCAGCCAAAGUCCUUAUCGUCUUCCGGGAGCUGGUGGAGAAGUCGAUUAUCUCCUGUAACCUCUCCAAUAAAGUGACAGUGCUGGAGAGCUUCAACUCAAUGGUCCGGGUGGCUGUGGAGACGUCAGAAUCCCAGGUCGAGGUAGAGCUGGUCCCUGCUGUGGAAAUUCCAACUUGCUGGCCCAAGAAAGCCCAGUGGCCUCGUUGCCUUAAGCGUUGGCCUUCCCAGGAAAAAGUACAGUGCAUCAAGUCACUUGGUUUCGAUCUUUUGGCCCACUCUAAUUACCACUGGCAGCUGUGCUUCUUCCGUGCUGAGCAUAUGCUCAUGGAAGGUCUCGAUGAAGAUGGUGGUUGUCGCAUGAAGUGCUUCCGGGUCAUGAGGCAGAUGAAGGAGGAUGUUUGGUGUGCUGGAAAUAAGCCUGUCAUCACAGCCUAUCACCUUCAGACAGUGCUAUUCUGGACGUGUGAAAAAUACCCACGCACCAAGGAUUGGCGCAGCUUCCGUGAAGCCUUUCUGAGACUAGUACGGAAGCUGCACAAGUGUGUAAGCCAGCACUUCCUCAAGCAUUACUUUGUCAGGAACACCAACCUGCUCAAAUACACCAACACCAGCGACCUGGACCUGGUGGCCAGCAAGCUGGCAGUCUUCUUAGAGAACCCCAUGCUCUGCCUGGACUAAAGCAGGGAAGGUCUCUUCACCGCAACCCUGCUCCUAUCCCCCGCCUGCUCUCCCCACCUGUGGUUGUUCUUCGUCUCCUUCCAGUAGACACUGCAGCUGGCUUUGUAAGAUGUUUGACACAUGCAGCAUGAAAGAGAGAGUCAAGCUGGCAGCAGUGGGCGGUGAAAACUGACGGGAGAAAUCGCUCGAUGCCCAGACGAUCUAAUUCGCUUUCAACAGUGACAGCCUUCCUGGAAGCUACAGCCAGUGCAAACCAGAUCUCUGCGUCAGUGAGACAACUGCCUUGUUCUCUGUCACUAGUCCUGUGCCUCGUAAGCAGAAAGAUGGUGUAAAAGAGUCUCUCUCCCUCUGCUGCCUAGCUGUUGGGUAACCUGAGAUGAAGUAUUUUAGGGCAGGAGCCUGGCAUAGAGACACCCUGGUUUUCAUUGUGAUUCCUGAAGCUUAACACAAUACAGUUCCACAGAAGAAAACCUCAGAGGGCUGAAGGAGAUAUUGAUCUAAGCAAACUGAAAGCGGCCAGGGACCUCCUGGCCACCCACGAUUACUUCUGGAGUGAUGAGGAGGCACCAGAGACUGCCAACAGAAUACCUUCAAAAGCACCCUCAGACCCUCUCCUUCCCUUUGCUAGAUCCUGUUGGACAAGGCAGGAAGACAUCAUGAGCAUUAGCCCACCUCUGAGAGUCUGCAAAGACUGGGUAGGACCUCAGUUGCAUAUGAGGAAAGUCUGGAAGGAAGCUGAAAAUCCAAGCUGCCCAAAAGCUGACAUCUCCAGCACAAGCAGGAGCCAAGAAAAGGGCAAUGCGGACCUGUUCCUCGCCACCAACUGCAGCCUGCAAGAGAGGCACUUUAGGCAUUGCUGCAAAGUGCUCCGUGUGGCUUCACUGCUUUUAUGAAAUUCCCAUGAAAAUCAGGAGUGCUGGGAGCUGGUAGGGGACACCCUAAAUUAGCAUUCCAGCUGAAGGAAAGGCCAAGCUUUGUUAGUGCACCUGCCCAAGGAACAGGCUCACCUGCCCCAGGGAGAGAGCUGCUAUCCACAAACCCCCGGGGGCAGGCAGGGCAGGUUAGAUAUGGGCUGGAAACUGCCGGAUCUGAGCGCAAUUGCACAGGGACGCUCCUUCGGCUCAGAGUCCUUCCCCGUAAUUGAACUAGAGGCAGCAGAGGGGUUGGUUCCACUGCAGGGAGGAGCUGGCUCCCCCCACUCCCCGGGCAAGCUGGCCUUAAAUGGGGCACUUUGAGUGUGCGCAAAGGAUGAGGGACACCUGAAAAGCAGCAUUGGGAUGGGGUGCUCUGCGUGCACAGGGUGCUGCGGUGCCGGGGUCUCCUCUGAGCUGCUUCAGGCUAGCUCAGGCAGCAGGUUGCUGGAAUGAUGGUCUGCUGGGUUUCUGCAGGAAACGCCUGUAAAAAGGGGCUGAGCUGAGGUGCUGGGCUCUCGCUACUGACCUCGGAGCAACAGCAAUAGCUAUUUGAUGGGAUGACUCUCACUGAGCUCAGCGUAGUAGGGGGUUGGGUGCGAGGUCGGGUAUUUUCCAGAAAGAGAGACAGAAAUGUUGACAUCUUCCAGAACUCCCCUAGUCGUCAGCUGGUACAGCUGACUCAUUUUUAUCUUGUUUUGAGGACUAUGUCUGCCUCUGUGCCUCUCCUCUCCUUUCUUCCACCUGCUCUUCCUCUCUCCCCACCCUGCGUCUCAUCUUGGCAAAAUGACACACUUUUGUCCAUGCAUGCACCAAUGCCACCUCUUGCCAGUGCCCCAGGGUGGUUUUGUUGUGUGCUAUUCAGGAGAUAAGAGCCAGCCUUCUCCAUCCCUCCUUACAUCAGCAUCUCCAGAAAAUUCUCAUGGCACUGCAGGGAAGUCUUCUUCAUCCCUGUAACACCUGCUCCCUCCUCCUUCUCUAGGAAAUGCCUUAGUGAUCUCCCUUCCUUCCUUGCUCAGAUUUCUUGUCUGGCCUCUCUACAGCCUCUUGCCAUGAUCUGGCUCAUCUCAGUGCUGGUCUCCCCUCUGUUCCCUCCUCUGUAUUCUCCAAAACGCCCACAGCAGCUGCCGCAAGUCCUUUGCUGGUGCUUUGUCCCCCUGCCUUCACUGCAGCAUGUUCCCUCCUCAUCCUCUCCCCCUGUCCCACCAGGCUUGCAGGCAAGGUGGGGAAGCAUCCCACAGGUGGGCUGGCAAUUUAGCUUGCAUGUGGUGAGAAGGCCAACGUUGUAAUGUGCGGAAGAACAUUUCAACGAAGGCUCUACUGAGGUACCUGCAAGCUAGGUCUUGCAGCCCUAGCUAGGAAGUAAUAUUAUUACCCCUAUUCCAAAUAGUCUUAAUUGCUCACCCCAAAUUUUUCUGGAUUAGGAAUGCUUUUGCUGGGUGCCUGUUUGUUCCACCCCUCUGCAGAUUCCCUCCCCUCAGAAGGGAUGGAUGACGCAGCUCGGCUUGGAGGGGGGCUGCUAUCGGAGCCCCCUUUCCCAUCAACAGCUCCAGCACAACUGGAGCUGGGAGGCCAAAGCAGGGAUGAGAGAAUUUCAUUGCAGCUGGGAGCAUGGCUAUAGUUGCUUCAUGUGACUUCUUUCAUGAAGGAAAAGUGGGGUGGGCUUUCUGCUGAGCUCUGGCACUUCGAUGCCCCCACUGAAAUCCAAUAGCCAUGCAGAAAUGACAGGGGGGACAGCCUUUCCCGAGCGAUCUCAGGAUACUCUUACUCUUUCUUGUCCCAGUGUGUUAAUGAGAGCUGCUGCAGGGCUCCAGCUCUGCAGCUCGUGGGCCCGCGCGUACCCGGCGUUAUCUUAAUGAGCAUGCUUAUCGCAGGAUCUUUUCCUUGAGAGCAGCACGCAAGCAGCAGGAAGGCAGAUUGUCCCAAAGGCCUUCUCCAAUAGCCCUUUCACUCUUCACUUUCCCCUCCUCCCUGUCCCUCCAUCUCAGCUUGCUGGCUCUGCCUCCAGCCAGCUUGGCUCCAGCCGACUUACGUGCGGACGGCUUGGAUGAGCGUGUCUAUCCCGUCGUGCUGUUUAUUGCAUUAAAGAAGAGCAAAUGGAGGGAGAUGCACAAACAUAGGCAGAGAUGCAGGGAAGCACUGGAAAGCAGACAUGAGGAGAGGCAAAUGAGCAGAGAAAUACAGAUGCACAUAGAUGUGGAUAUUGGCACUAUGCAAACUAAGCAAUCACGGAGAGCCAGACAGGCAUCGGUGCUAAAGGUGACUUGCAAAUGUGCGUGCACAUGCAAGCAGGCACAUGGGCAGAGGACAGCUGCAAAUGCCUACAGAAUGGGAGACAGAUGGACAAAUGCAGGCAGAGAAAAACACAGGUAAAGCGGCACAACGGUAGGGAGAGCUGCAGAGGCAUAUGGUGAGGGAGACAGGGCACAAGCUAUUGUACAGUGAGUGAGGGCAUACAUGCAAGUGUUGCAUGACCCCUUUUUCCGAAGGAAGGGGCAAGUGGCUAGACAAGUCUGUCCUUCCCCCUUCCUGCUUGGCUAAAUGCAGAUUCCAGACAGCAGUUGCUUUCAGCAUCGAGACCCACCCAGAGCAGUCUCACUCAUUUAUAGCCAGUUUCCUGCCCUUGGCUGCCUUACAAAAUCUUGCAGCAGAAACUAUGAUGAAAGAAGUUUUUGAAUGCUGACCUGCACAAGCCCAAAACCAACAGCCCAGAAAUGCAGGCUCAUUAAUAGCUCCUUGCAUAGUGAAGAGAGAAAGUAAACCCCUUUCUCAGUUAGGAAACUUGAGGCUGUCUCCUGGUUGGAGCGGUUGCUUGGAGGCUGGACUCCAGACUCUUGUUACAGACUUGACCAGCCUAACCCUUUUCCUCUUGGCUCCUUGCUCUCCCCCACCCAUCUCCCCUCCCUUCCCCAAGACUGAGAAUGAUAAAGUCCUGCUCGCCGUUGAGAACGUUUAUGAAGUCUCUUUGUAAUGGGUAAAUGGGUUUGGCGCAGCACAGCUCCAGACUGAAUGAGAGCAGUUAACGGCACUGCAUGGAGGCAGCCUGCAUGGACCUCACCUCGGCACAUGGCCUCUUCCUUUUCUGGCCAUGUGGAUGGGCAGCCAAAUCAGUGUCACUUGCUCUGACCCAUGAAGGUCUGCUAGUGGUCACUUCCUGGAGACGUUGGCUUUAUUCCUUGGACCAGUGGAAGGUUUUUGGCACGGGAGCCAAAUCAGUGAAUGGAAACAUCCUCCCUGCAAGCUACAGUGACAUCCUGCUAUUGUUGGCAUCCCUUGGCCAGGUUUGUUCAGCUGCUUUGUACCAAUCGACGUCUCCGGGCUUUCAUCAGCGGGUCACUAUCGCCGUAAGGCACAUGGGCUUCCUGACAUAAUGCCCAAGGAAAGCCCUCUUCUCCUGUUUACGAUCAGGAUGUGAAAGUAAAGGAAGUAGAAAUGCUACUCAGGAAUCCACUCCGGACUUUAAUCACUACUGUCAAUGCUAGAAGACUUGGGAAAUGUUGAAAAAUGAUCACCAUCACUGUGUAAUAGGAUGCAGAUGUUCAGGUUGUAACCGAUCCAGCUAUUAUUACCUCUUGGCUACUGGAAGACAACACCUAAUCAGAACUCUGGAGCUGAAAAAAAUUGUUCCUACAAGCCUCCAAGAAACUGGAAUUAGUUUUGUGUGUGAUGAUUACAUGUGCUGUGGCUCAGACCAGAACUUUGGUUGGGACAGACCAGACCUAGCUGUUGAAAGUGUGGGAUACCCAUGAUGAGUGCUGCUUGCUGCAGUAUCACACAGCUCAGGUAUGCUGCCCUGCAGAGGAGGCACCACAGCAUGGAGAAAACUGGACUGAAUCGCUGUCCACCACUUAGGUUCACCACUAAUCUUGGCUGUAAACAUGAACCUAGGCUAUUUCAGGUUACAAAGUCAUGGGGAUCUGAAGCCCACAGUCCAAAGCUGUCUGUGGCCUUUAAAAACUGAACAUUGUAUUAAAUUAUGGGAGAGUUUCAUUUCCAAGUCAAGCUAUUAUUCCCAGCUGAAUCUGCAAGAGCAUCUAACUGUUCCCAUAGCAUUUUGCUUCUUCCCCUGCUCCUCCCUCAGAUAUCUUUGAAAGGAGUAUUAAAGUAGUGAAAGGGAAGUAUGCACCCUUCUGUUUAAUGAAGGCAAGGAAAAAAUAUUGUCAUCUGGGUAUCCAUCCCGGUAUAACAGCUGCAUGUGGGAAGACUGGGGCAUCUCCUCAUGCGCUGCUGACCCACCGCUGGGACAUCACUGUAAACUGAGCUCUGGCAGCAAAGAAAACCUGUGGAGGUGCUGUUCCCGCAGUGCCAGCUCCUUUCUCCAGCG